rnacentral:tRNA from 1 species
GCGGCCAUAGAUUAGCUGGGAGAUCGUCAGACUGAAGAUCUGAAGGUCGUGUGUUCGAGUCGCACUGGCCGCA